UCUGCCAAUCACAUUCUCCAUACCUAACAUACUAAACACAGCUGGUGACAGUUUGAAAAAGAUCUCUGCAUUUUUUACAUUUGUAAUCUAUUUAGUUAUAGAAACAUGAUGCCGCCAGGUUAAGCAGUAAAAUAACUCCCAACUUUACUUAGAACGCAGCAAACAUUUCAAAGGAAACAAGUCCUCAUUAAGAUCAGGUAUGGACAAUUAGUGCAGGGGUUCUCAAACUUUUUGCUAUCACCUCUUUUGUGAUAGCAAAUUCAUCAGGGACCCCCCUCAUAUCCAGAACACAACUCCAGUGAGAUACAAAUAGCACACACAGAGCUUUACUAUGAUUUCGGGAGUGCAUGGCCAGACAAACCAAGUCUCAGGCUCUGGGAAGGAACAUUUUCAAAGCUGCUAGCAUUGGAGAGAACAUUUUGAUUCCAAGUAAAUUUUUAGACCCACCCACCCCUUCCUGUGUCAUUGACGGCCAUCCGGCAUACACGGUAAAACGCCACCUGAGUGUUCGACCACGGGGCAGGGGUUUCCAAUACCUGGUUGACUGGGAGGGCUAUGGCCCAGAGGAGAGGUGUUGAGUUCCCCCUAGAGACAUCCUGGAUCCAGGCCUCAUCGCCGACUUCCACCACCGACACCCCGGUCAACCAGUCCUCCCGGUUUUGACCUUUGCCUGUUUUCUGGACUCCAUUCCCGCCUGCCUGACCAUUCUGUCUGCCCUGAACUCCAGCCUGCAUGCCAUUCUGUACCUCUGGAACUCUGAACUGGUUUUGACCUUUUGCCUGUCCACAACCAUUCCCUUGC